rnacentral:rRNA from 1 species
AUGCAGUCGAGGGGUAACAUGGUAGCAAUACUGAUGACGACCGGCAAACGGGUGCGGAACACGUACAGAACCUUCCUUUAAGCGGGGGAUAGCCCGGAGAAAUCCGGAUUAAUACCCCAUAGUAAUAUUGGUUGGCAUCAAUUAAUAUUUAAAGAUUUAUCACUUAAAGAUGGCUGUGCGGCUGAUUAGGUAGUUGGUGCGGGUAACGGCCCACCAAGCCUGCGAUCAGUAACUGGUGUGAGAGCACGACCAGUCACACGGGCACUGAGACACGGGCCCGACUCCUACGGGAGGCAGCAGUAAGGAAUAUUGGUCAAUGGACGCAAGUCUGAACCAGCCAUGCCGCGUGAAGGAUGAAGGCCCUCUGGGUUGUAAACUUCUUUUAUCUGGGAAGAAAUGCAUCUUUUCUAAGGUGUUUGACGGUACCAGAGGAAUAAGCACCGGCUAACUCCGUGCCAGCAGCCGCGGUAAUACGGAGGGUGCAAGCGUUAUCCGGGUUCACUGGGUUUAAAGGGUGCGUAGGUGGGUUGGUAAGUCAGUGGUGAAAUCUCCGUGCUUAACAUGGAAACUGCCAUUGAUACUACUGGUCUUGAAUUUUCAGAAGGUAAGCGGAAUAUGUCAUGUAGCGGUGAAAUGCUUAGAUAUGACAUAGAACACCAAUUGCGAAGGCAGCUUACUGCNNAACAUUGACACUGAGGCACGAAAGCGUGGGGGAUCAAACAGGAUUAGAUACCCUGGUAGUCCACGCCCUAAACGAUGGAUACUCGACAUUUGUGAUACACAAUAAGUGUCUGAGCGAAAGCAUUAA